rfam:Bombyx mori DNA, contig: Bm_scaf62_contig29356, strain: p50T/Dazao, build 2, whole genome shotgun sequence.
UUAACUCAAAUUUGUAUGGAGUUGAAACGUUUGCCUGCGCUAGGGGCACUGUUCCCACUCCACACAAAUUUAAGUUA